UUUAUCACAAAAAAAAGUUCCGUCAGUAUUGUCCAGUAUUUUAAUUAUUUACUAUGUAUAAGUACUCAAUAAAUAAUAAUAAUUUUUAAACAAUUAUAUUAUAUGUAAUAUUGUCUUUCACAUAUCAGUUAUCCAUAUAAAUCCAUUUCCAAAUUUGAAAAUGAAAUGAAACUAUAUUGUGUGAACAAAAAAAUAAUAGGCCACAAAUAUAAACGGACAGUUCGCUAAGCCGGAUAAGUUGUAACACAAACUCGUAAAUGUCGUUUGAUCAGGUUAUUUUCAUAAAAUAUUUCGAUACUUUCAAGUUUUAGCUCAUCGGAGUGAGAUGGUUAGAUGAAGAUGGAUGAAGAUAGCUGUUUCUUCGGCGAUGGCGGCACUCUAGCUACGUUUCACCGAAAGAGUAGAUGUUUACGAUUCUGGCUGUAUUCUGGAGCGUUUCGUCAUGGGCGUCGCAGUUCACACACGUCACGGAUUCCGCCGAAGGAGUCGAUGAUUAAAACUGAACUUUUGGAUCGGCUAUAUGAAGACGCGCGCUGCAUUUUCCUUGACGGAGACGCACAGCUCUGACACUAGACAAUAUUAUACACUCAAAGGGACCGCGUUUCGCCGGAAGAAUAAAUAAAUACAUCAUAAAGAUACUAGUAUUGUAUACUAGAUAAGUUUCAAUUAUCGAGAUGUAGAGAGAGAUGGAGAUGGAGCGAGAUGUAGACGGAUGAAGAUAGCUGUUUCUUCGACGACAGCGUGUGUUGCAGUACAGCUAGGUUUCACUGGAAGAGUCGAUGUUUAUGCAAAUGGUAUUCGUCAGUGAACAUUUUCAAACUGGGAAUAAUAUAUCAUAAGCAGAUUGAAAUGUGUGAACGUUUCAGUGUUUCGAAGACUAAGUUUCGUAGCAGAUUUUGAUUCCGUCACGGGGUACCUCAACUCGACGUUGCUGUAUGUCCGGUCCAAUAAUAACAAUGGCGUAUCAGACGUAGCUCCCAAACCGGUCGACAUCCAUCUGCAUAACUCAUUCCGCAAGAAUGAGCGGUAUAGUUUGAAAACUUCCCAAAGUUAUCUGGUGGAUGUCGAUACGUUGGUGAGCAGCCGUCGCACAUAGGUCUGAUGUACCUAUGGAAAGUUAUUAUUGGAUCGGUCAUAAUAUUACGUUGAGAAGUUAUCUGUCCAUAAACUUAUUUUCAGAUUUGUAGGCCAAUUCCGUUGCCAUUUUUUAAUUAUUCUUUGUUUUUAUUAAGGUUGAGGUGUAACAGCAUUUUAGGGGCUAUUGUAAUUCCCACUUCCAGGACUUUAUCAUACAUACAGCCGACAGCCCGAUGACCUACAUUUUUGUGUAUUCUGGUCUACCCUAUGAUGGCCGCGAAGUAACGAUCACGUCACCGUUUAUCAGAUUGCCCAGUUUGAAAGUGUCUCCAACCAUUUCAUCGGAUAGGUACGCCAUAAACCGUGGCAUAGCGCUGGCACACCAGCAUCAUUUUGUCCGGAUCAAUAUCUACAAAAAUGACGUCCCAAUUAUUAGAAGCUAAUAAUAUAGUGUCUUUGUCGAACAGUCAGCUGUACGAAGUUUCCGCUGUGCCACAAAACGGGUCGAUGCCGGUCGCUGAACAUGGGAAGUCCUCAAGUCCACCCAGCAUCGUAUUGAUAAAUCAACAAUACAUCUUACAUCUUACAUCUAUCAUUGCAAUCUUAUAAUUAUUCACCUGAAUGCAUGUAAUCCUGAAUGUACAGUUAAUUUAUUACUACCCAUCUACAAAGU